AUACGGAGGGUGCAAGCGUUACUCGGAAUCACUGGGCGUAAAGCGCAUGCAGGCGGUCUAAUAAGUUGGAAGUGAAAGCCUAUGGCUCAACCAUAGAACUGCUUCCAAAACCGUUAGACUAGAGUCUGGGAGGGGAAGAUGGAAUUAGUAGUGUAGGGGUAAAAUCCGUAGAGAUUACUAGGAAUACCAAAAGCGAAGGCGAUCUUCUGGAACAGUACUGACGCUGAGAUGCGAAAGCGUGGGGAGCAAACAGGAUUAGAGACCCUAGUAGUCC
rnacentral:rRNA from 1 species